AAAAAAAACAAAAAGGAAAUUUCACAGCCAUUUUAGUGUUCCAUCUUUGUUCACAGUCUGCAAAUAAAAGUCUAGAUUGGUUGCUGAUAUAAAAGCAAACAGAUGUUUGAGUAAAUAUUUCUGGGUUUUCUGCAGUUGAACACACAACCUUCUUUUCAUCAGUGCAUAUUAUUGAUUAAAAAGUAGCAUCAGUUGUGUGGACACACCUAACAGCUAUUGGUGAAGCAUUUAGUCUUGAUGGCUUUUUUUUUUUCUAGAGAGAGAGAUGCACACUUUUUUCCUUUUUUUUUUUUUUUUUUUUUUACUCCCCAGAGUUUUUCUCCUUGGAAGAUCACUAGAUCACUCCAUACUCAUAAACAAAGUCUAAAGAUGCCCUAGACAAAAGAUUUGGGUUAUAAUUCGCAAUGUUUGCACUGGAUGUACUAUUCAGGACAUUCUGUUCACACAGGUUUCUUGACUGAUACAACUCUACUGAAUACGCAUUUGCAACAUGGCUAGAUGAUGAUGAUUAUCAGAAUAAUACUGAAAGAAGUUUUUUUUUCUUGCUAUUAUUAAAAAAAAAAAUCUACAACAAAAUUAACACUGAAGUUGGAAAAUUCAGAAUUGUGAAUAUAUUGGUCUUUGGGGUGCUCUUCCAGAAAGCCUAAGACAGAGAUGACCGAACAUAUUUUUACCAUCUGUUUUGGAAGACAGGUGAGAUUUUAACAAUUGAAUCUUCUGGUCAUAGCCAGAUUGCCUCCAAUGGUCUUGUCUGUUAAGCUUUAACAUCAUAUGUGGUAGUAACUCACAGGUACUGACACGGUCUGCUUGAUAUGGGCCAAAGGUUUCGGAAUAGACCGAAUCAACUGCCAGAUCUGUCAUUUUCAUCCAGAAAAAAUCUGCACUCAUGAAAAGCACAGUAAGCAGGAUGCCUAAUGGAAGAACAACUUUGCAGGCAGUGAUAUGACAGGACUGGGGAGCGAGUUGAGAUAUACUCUAUGAGGAUGUGCUGUGUGUUCCCAAUAUGAGAAAACAACUUGGGGACACAAGUUUAGGAAGGAGGGAAGAUGACACCGAAAGAGAGACGAAGCAAGAGAACUUGCGAAAACUCAGACACGCUAACUGAAGGCAUCGUUUGGAGGAACUUCAAAGCAAUCUAUGAGGCUCUGCAGACAUCACCAUCUGCCACACACUUCUAAAGAUUUGAUGUCUCAAGGGGCUACUUCCUGCAAGACAUGAACAUCUUCACAGAAGAGAUUAGAGAUACAUCAUGAACUAUCUCAUCCUGACCAUUUAUCAUGAUAAACCUGCCAAAUGCAUUAAAUUUGCAUAAAAG